rnacentral:lncRNA from 1 species
GUGAUGGUUAAUUUUAGGUGUUCAUUUGGCUAGGCCACAGUACCCAGACAUCUGGUCAAACACUAUUCUAUAUGUUUCUGUGCAGGUGUUUUUUCAUGGAUUAAUUUACAUCAGGAGACUUUCAGCAAAGCAGAGUAUCCUCCAUGAUCAAUGCUGGAAGCCAGGGGCUCCAGACGGCCCAGCUACAAGAUGGAAGUGGCAAGGAUCCCGCUCACCCGAGGAGAGUUGGCCUGGAGAGCUGCCUGACCCAGCCUUUAAUGAGCAAGAGGUAAACUUUUCUUACGUCACUGAGACCUUGGGGUUUGUUUCCACAGCAUGACCUGUUUUUCCUGACUCAUACAAGCCCCUGGAAGCAUCUGACUCACUAAUCCAUUGACCUUCUCUAACAUCAGCAUUUACGGAUCCUGCCAUCAAAAUUCUUCAUUCAUUAUGAGGGCUCAGUCAGUUCUCCUUAGGAUUAUUAAACCAUUAGUAAAAGUGCAUUAAAAUCAGCUUAUAAUCUCUUCCAGUGGGAUUUCACAAAUAUCACUCCAUAGCCAAAUGGUUUACCGUUCUCUUCUGACUCAGAAAAGCAUAUUGUAAUUAGAACACUUUUUGCACAAUAAUAAAAACAAAACAGCUUUCACAGGUUGCGCUGGAUGUCAAACGUGGGUAAACCACUCAAUUUUGAGCUCAGCUUGGCACAGGUUUAUUUAUUUACAGGCACUUCAAAAAGAAGGGGGUAGGCCACAUCUACAUAGCCCAGGGUGUGGAGCGUGGAUGUGUCUGUCUGUUUGUUAUGACUAAGUCUUGCUCAGUCCUAAUUCUUCCUGGUCAAAAAUUGUUAUUUUUAAAAGACUCCUUGAACACAAAACCCUUCAGAUGUGAUGGAGAUGUGGCCAAGGGAAGCAGGGAAGUGUGGUGAUGUUGUGAUGUGAAUGCAGGCUCUGAGCCCAGAUCCCAAAUCCUGACACCCACCAGCAGCUGUGCAUGUUUGAACUUAUGAACCCAUUUCCGCAGGUGGAAAAUGGGUGAGUAAGCUUACCCUCGGCCUUGUCAGGAACAUGAGAAGGCCUCAGUAGGGAGCCUGGCUAGUCCUGCCCCCAGGCUUAGCGGCGGCUCUUCCUGAAGUCCUGCUGACCGGAAGGAACGUCACAAACAUCUCCUGCCCACAGGUGAAGGAGGCCUGGGGAAGAUGGAGGAGGCGGCCCAUCUCUAGGCACCUUCCACGGAACACUGGCCCCCACACGCCAACCGUGCAACAGCCCCGUCCUGGCAGCUGAUCCCUUAGCUGUCCGGGAAUUCCAAGCACAUCUUUGGAAGAGCUAGUUGGGUCCUUUCUGGGGGCAUGGAAAGGAGGACCAAGGUCUUAUCUGACUGAGGUGAGGAGCAGACACCACGGGGAGUAGGGAAAGAGAAAACUGCAGCCCAGAAGGCGCUUCCUUUACAGAAUCCCGAGGCCAACUCAGGCAAAUGUCAAGAGCAGGAAAAGCCACCAACUUCAAUUCAAUUAAAUGCAUAGGACCGACUUUCAAGAAGGAAUAAUCUGGGUAUUGACAAGCUUGAAUUCAAGUUAAUGCAAGAGAGAGAGGUCUUGAAGGACAUUCAUUAAACUGUUCCUGGUUAUCCCUGGACGGCGGCAGUUGGGGUGAUGUUCACGUUUAUUUUACAAAAGCAAUUAAGCUACUUUGAAUAAAGGAGGAAAAGGAAACAUGAAAGAAGUACCCAAGUUCUGAGUCAGAGAUCUGACUUCAAAUCCCAAUUCCACCACCACCAGCUGUGACCAUGAGUGGUCCCAGCAUUAAUGAGGGCCUCAGUUUCUGCAUCUGCGGAACGGGAAUAACAGUAUCUACCUCCUAGGAUUAUCAAAGCUUAAAGUGGAUAAUUUAGGAUAUGCCAAACAUCUGGAAUCGGGCUCAAAAAGUGGUAAAGAAUUUUGAAGAUAUUUUUCUUUAACACUCCAAAACAACUUUCAGGGAAAGUCAUUUUUCAUGGAAGGUGCUGACUUUAUUGGAGACUGACCAUCUCCUCAUCACAGUCUACUCCAGAAAAAUCAGAGGGAGGUGGGGAAUGUUGUACCCAACUUUCUAAUGUCUCUAAGACGUGGGUGGCAAGGGUAGGCUGUUAGCACUCCAGAAUAACGUUGCUAUGCACCCAUUCAGGGCUUAGCCUCACAGCCAAACUGAGAUCCAGACCCCAGAGAAGCCGCGUGAAUCAACAGCAACUCUGCAGCCCCCGACCCCAGCCCUGGCGUCCCACUCACUGAGGCUCUGGCCAGGUGGCGGUGACUCAAACCUUCUCCAUUUUAACUUGGCAUCUCAGAGCUUCUGGACAGAGUCCACAAAUACAUGAGACAAAAAUAGGCCAGCAUACCCUCCCUUGCCAGGCCCUCAUUGUUGAGGGAUGAGAUGAGGGCUGGGCAAGCGGUUACACAGCCGAAACCAGGGCCCUAGAACCCAGCUCUGCCAGCAUGGGCGCCCCACAGCUCUGCCCACAGCGUCUGCUCUUUAUUCUUGGUUUCUCCUCUCCUUCUCUUCCACUUCCCAUUCUUUGUGAUCCAUCUUUUUCCAAAAGUUGACAGGUUGGCUGGAGACAAUUCCCCCUGCCAGCUUUUCUGUCUUUUCCACCUUUAGUUUAAGUUGUCCAUGAGGGCUGGUGAUCCAUUUUCGGUCCUCCAUACCUUCCUGGGCAAUCCCUCUGGGCCCUCACACCUCCACGCCCUCCACCCUCCCAGCUCCUUCCUCCCGGGGCCUCGAGCUUUUCCCUUUUUUCAUCCUCUGUGCACUGUUUCACCCCGACAUGUAUGUUAUUGUUUGACUGUGGCAUCAGCCAUUCUUGGAGACUUUUCCCAGGGCUUGCAAUUUUGUAGCAGAGAGAGAUUUUCUAUCUAAAGCAAAAUGCUGGUCUUGUUUAAAUAAAUAAUAAGAUAAAAGAAUCAGGCACUGUAGGGGUAUUUGGCCCACAGCCAUCCUGUCUCAGCAGGGUCCUUUUCAUUGAGGGAAGCAUUUUUCAUAUCCAUAAUUUGCCCCUUUCUCUAACCCAGGGUGCACGCUGCCGUGGCCCUUGGUGACAAUGUCCCCUGUGGCCUUCCUCCAAAGCUUGCUCCAGCAAGCUCUGACAUGGUGUCCUCCCUCCCCUUCUGGGCUGCGGCUUCUCCAACCUCCCCCAGCUCCUGCAGACAGAGGAGAAACAGCAAGUCACAAGAUAAGACAAAGACCCUCUAGGCCAGGCCACUCCUCGCUGCCACUCUGGGACAGCAAGGCAAAACGCAGACGGCCCCAGCUCUGGACGCCUCUCCUCCUCUGGACCCUAACCCUAACCCUAAGCCACUGGAACACUCACGGGAGAAAGCUGGACCUGCUUUGAGGCUCACCUCCCUGCAUGCACAUCCAUCCGGCUUCUCUCAAGAAGCAACCUGGUGUCUGA